GACGAACGCUGGCGGCGUGCUUAACACAUGCAAGUCGAGUGGUAAGGCCCUUUCGGGGGUACACGAGCGGCGAACGGGUGAGUAACACGUGGGUGACCUGCCCUUAGCUCUGGGAUAAGCCUGGGAAACUGGGUCUAAUACCGGAUAUGACUCCAUGACGCAUGUUGUGGGGUGGAAAGCCUUGUGCGGCUAGGGAUGGGCCUGCGGCCUAUCAGCUUGUUGGUGGGGUGAUGGCCUACCAAGGCGACGACGGGUAGCCGGCCUGAGAGGGCGACCGGCCACACUGGGACUGAGACACGGCCCAGACUCCUACGGGAGGCAGCAGUGGGGAAUCUUGCGCAAUGGGCGAAAGCCUGACGCAGCGACGCCGCGUGGGGAUGACGGCCU
rnacentral:rRNA from 1 species